UCCGUUUAUUUAGCAAAUAAAUAAACAACUUGUACUGCCAUGUAGCGAUUUCGAUAGACGACGCCUUCAAGGGAGGAGGAGUCUACAACAUAUUGAAUUUAUCGAUCGAUUGUUAGGCCGAUUUCGAUCAGCAUUGUAUAGUUAAUGAAUGACAACUUGACGAGAUCUUGACACGCACGUUGUAAGUGUACGCGUGUUUGCACCUCGAUGAGCGUUGCACAAUAACAAAGCUCCAUUGGUGAGCGUAUUGAUUAAUAAAGCUAGGUGAAGUCCUUGAGUGCCUCAAGGACUUUGUUUUGUUUUAGCAGUAUUUUUUCCUUCAACAAUUAAUCUUGCAUCUCCAACCGUGGAAUGAGUUACAUGUGACUCGAGACAAACAAACAGUGCAAUUGCAACAAUAUAAUUAGUCAGCGGUAUGGUCACUAUCAGCAGCUUUACACACAGUGUGCAUCGUGAAUACAUCAAUCCCAGAGAAAACAUUCCAAUGGAAAAUAUUGAGAAUUUCUGCCCUUCUAUCCUGAACUAAACAAUGCUGGGAGAUUGGUUAUCUCUUCACAGAGAUGAGUCAUCCGCUCCUUGGACAACGCUGCGAUCGU